GGCUGCAUUCGCUAGCACCUCCAUGAUGGAGGCUAUUUGAGUGUGAAAAACCAUACUGUUAGCCAUCGUUAGCUAACGUUAUCCGCUAACUAGCUGGCUAGCGUUACCUCGACAAUCGAUAACAUCUGUCAACCAAGUGCUGUCAAGCGACGGGCACGAACCACACCUUGGAUUCCUGUCACAAGGUUUUCCUCCCUAACUUCCAUCGACACCCUGGAGACACCCUACUUCGGAGUUCAAAGCACGAUACUUCGGGUGACUCGAUUCUUGUUAGAUCAACAACAGGAUCUUGGAGUAACCACUGAGGAACAUCCCCCUAUCACCACAGAAGGGCCAACCUCCAAUUCCCUCAGACCACUCAUCAGCAAGCUUUCCAACUGUCCAACCAAAACCACUGCCUUGUCCACUAAUACAUUCCCAACAGUCAUCUAGAACAGUAGCAGUGGGAUGGUCAACCUCACAGCCUUUCAGCCUAACCCAAUAAGCUAAUUACCAUUUUUUACACUGAAUAUCCGAAAGCAUCUCACCUACCUCCACUAGUAAGGCACAUGCAGAUGUUGAUUUAAAUGCACCAAUACAUAUCCUGAAAGCUGUAUACUGGAUUCUGUCCAGCCUCUGAAGCCAAGUCUUCGCCGCUGUUCCAUAAACUAUACACCCGUAAUCAAUUGUCGUUCUGAUCAGAGCUCUAUAAAUAUCCAUCAACGAUUGUCUAUCAGCACCACAUUUAUAACCAAAGACCAAGCGCAUAAGAUUCACCACCUUCUUACACUUUUUUUUCAACAUUUGACAUGGUAUUUCCAUGUAUAUCGCUCAUUGAGCCAUAGACCCACAUAUUUGUACUUAGAAACCCUCCCCAUAGGCUGACCUUACAGAAACAACUGUAUAUUCUCAGCAACUUUCUUCUUAGAGAGGAACAUACAGCAAGACUUUCGCCACUGACAAUUUAAAACCCCAGUCAAUUGACCAUCUUUCAAAAUCCACUAUAGCUUGUUGAAUAGAUUGUCACAUGAGAGAUAUUCCUUGUCCCCUUUCAAAUAGCUCUAUCAUCAGCAUAUACGUAAGCCCCAAUAGCCCAACCUACAUUCAAAAACACAUUGUUAAUCAUAAUAUUGAACAAAAUAGGACAGAUCGAUCGCACUGCCUUGAGGAAUACCAUUGUCAACUCCACAGGCAUCAGAUAAAAUGGAUCCUAUUUUAACUAAAAAAAAGAGCGAUUAAAUAAGAACACCAAAACUCAGUUGUAUAUUCUCCCACCAAUACCAAGUCUAUCCAUCUUAAUCACAUUGUAUUGUAUGCCUUUUCAAUGUCAAAAAAGACAGUAGCCAUUACUCCAUGACCAGAGUUUUUUCAACUUCAUUGUUCACCUUUACUAAUGCAUCCAAAGUAGAUCUACCUUUAUGGAAUCCACUUUGCCAUUGACUCAAUAAAAAUCUAUGUUCCAGGAAAUCUGAC